rnacentral:rRNA from 1 species
UACAGAGGUCUCAAGCGUUGUUCGGAUUCAUUGGGCGUAAAGGGUGCGUAGGUGGCGCCAUAAGUCAGGUGUGAAAUCUCGGGGCUUAACUCCGAAACUGCAUUUGAUACUGUGGUGCUUGAGGACUGGAGAGGAGACUGGAAUUUACGGUGUAGCAGUGAAAUGCGUAGAGGUCGUAAGGAAGACCAGUGGCGAAGGCGGGUCUCUGGACAGUUCCUGACACUGAGGCACGAAGGCCAGGGGAGCAAACGGG